GACGAACGCUGGCGGCGUGCUUAACACAUGCAAGUCGAACGGAAAGGCCCUGCUUUUGUGGGGUGCUCGAGUGGCGAACGGGUGAGUAACACGUGAGUAACCUGCCCUUGACUUUGGGAUAACUUCAGGAAACUGGGGCUAUACCGGAUAGGAGCUCCUUCUGCCUGGUUGGGGUUGGAAAGUUUCGGCGGUUGGGGAUGGACUCGCGGCUUAUCAGCUUGUUGGUGGGGUAGUGGCUUACCAAGGCUUUGACGGGUAGCCGGCCUGAGAGGGUGACCGGCCACAUUGGGACUGAGAUACGGCCCAGACUCCUACGGGAGGCAGCAGUGGGGAAUAUUGCACAAUGGGCGGAAGCCUGAUGCAGCAACGCCGCGUGCGGGAUGACGGCCUUCGGGUUGUAAACCGCUUUCGCCUGUGACGAAGCGUGAGUGACGGUAAUGGGUAAAGAAGCACCGGCUAACUACGUG
rnacentral:rRNA from 1 species